AAGUCGUAACAAGGUUUCCGUAGGUGAACCUGCGGAAGGAUCAUUAUGAAUUGUGUUUCACACUUUUUCACACUUGAACCACUCUCGCAUACGAAGGGGCUCGGCUUGCCGAGACACGCCGUAUCGAGAGUAAAAGUCAAUCAUUAAUACUUUAACAUUACAUACCACUAACAAUACAUGAGCACCUUGCUGCAAUGGAUCUCUCGGCUCUUGCAUCGAAGAAGAACGCAGUCCAUUGCGAAAAGUCAUGCGACCUGCACUUUUUGAGAAGCAUUACUCUUUGAACGCACCUUGCGCGUAGGGGGCAACCUUUACGAGGUCCUGUUUGAGCAAGUAUAAUUAAUAUUUUACAUGAUUGUUAACUAAACGAGAGUUUACUCGCAUUUAUUUGACAAUUUAAAAAUAUGCAAAUCAGCCUGAACGACUCUAAGGCAGAUGAGGGUUAGUAAGAAUAUUAUCAUGUUCAAGUAUCAUGAAAAAUAUCGUUAUUACUCUUUCGUCAUUGCAUGAUGGAUACAUAUGAUUCAACCCCAUAAGUAUCAAUUCACACACUCGCUUCUCAAAUCAGGAUAGAGGACCCGCUGAACUUAAGCAUAUCAGUAAGCGGAGGAAAAGAAACUAACGAGGAUUCCCUCAGUAACGGCGAGUGAAGCGGGAACAGCCCAUGGUUGAAGAAACACCUUUAGGUUUUUCAAUGUACCGUGGAGAGCGAAAGAGGAAUGUCGAGUUGAUGGCAAGUUUCCUGGAACGGAACGGCAGAGAGGGUUAUACCCCCGUGGCCAUUGACUCUUUAUUUGAUUUUUCACUCAUUGAGUCGGAUUGUUUGGGAAUGCAAUCCCAAUUGGGUGGUACGCGCCAUCUAAGGCUAAACAAGGGCAAGAGACCGAUAGCAAACAAGUACCGUGAGGGAAAGAUGAAAAGGACUCUGAAGAGAGAGUCAAAAGUGCGUGAAAUUGCGGCAAGGGAAACGAACGCGUUUAUGAACAGAGGGGGUGGGGAGAGUGUUUGAAUGUUGAUGGAGGUAUGGACGCCUCGGCAUCCAACGUACAGCAUCAACAGCAAGACACUAUGCCCACUUGCUUUCUUUGAACGUGUUCGACC
rnacentral:rRNA from 1 species